rnacentral:lncRNA from 1 species
CAAAGAUGAUCAUUGAUGCUAGGAGUUCGGAUAAGAUAGCGCAUCCACGGAGAUGGUGGAUCAGUUGGGGUUGAAGCCCUUUUUAGUAAGGGCCUCAUCCAGAGCCCUAUCGAAUCAGACACCUCCUCGUAGGAUAGAUCCUCCUGAGUAAAAGAGACUCGUGAGCCAAGACAUGAGAGGAAUCCGAGUUGUACUUGCGUAGCAUGGACACAUGGAACACAUUAUGGACCCUAGAAAGUUCUGGAGGUAGUGUCAGUCUGUAGGCUGCUGUGCCAAUUUUGUCUAAGAUUUCAAGUGGCCCAAUAAACUAGGGAUUUAGUUUUUCCUCUUGCCAAACCUAUUGAUUCCCUUGAACGGAGUGAUCGUAAAGAACAUCUUAUUACCUUUCUCAAAUUCCAAAUCCCUUUUUUCGGUAUCCGCAUAACUCUUUUGCCUACUCUAAGCCGUCUGGAUAUUCUUCCUGAUCUUAAUUAUUUUAGUUGUAGUCUCCUUCAUAAGAUCUGGACAAAAUAAUCUUCUAUCACGCACCUCUUUUCAACAGAUCGGUGAUCUGUAUGGGCGGCCAUACAACGCCUCGUACGGAGCCAUGCUAAUACUUGCUUGGUACCUGUUAUUGUAGGCGAACUCUAUUAGGGGUCCCAAUAGCCCCCAAAGUUAAGAACACAAGCUUGAAGCAUAUUCUUUAGUGUACGGAUUGUCCUUUUUGAUUGUCCAU